rnacentral:rRNA from 1 species
CAGUCGCCGCGGGAAAACGUAGGUGGCAAGCGUUGUCCGGAAUUAUUGGGCGUAAAGCGCGCGCAGGCGGCUUCCCAAGUCCCUCUUAAAAGUGCGGGGCUUAACCCCGUGAUGGGAAGGAAACUGGGAAGCUGGAGUAUCGGAGAGGAAAGUGGAAUUCCUAGUGUAGCGGUGAAAUGCGUAGAGAUUAGGAAGAACACCGGUGGCGAAGGCGACUUUCUGGACGAAAACUGACGCUGAGGCGCGAAAGCGUGGGGAGCAAACAGGAUUAGAGACCCCGGUAGUCCCUGUCUCUUAUACA